AUAUUUCGAAACAUGGUUUUUUGAUAAUAUUUUAAAAUUGGUUCUGCUCAAUGAUUAAUAAUUAAAUAGCUGCAGUAUUUUAACUGUACAAAGGUAGCAUAAUCAUUUGUUUUUUAAUUGAAAGCUUGUAUGAAAGAAUUGAUAAAAUAUAAAUUUUAUUUUGAUUAUAAAUUUAAUUUAUUUUUUAAAUUAAAAAAUUUAAUUUGAUUAUUAAGACGAUAAGACCCUAUAAAAUUUUAUAUAAAUAAAUUUAUUUAUAAGUUUAAAUUAAUUAUAUUUAUUUAUAUUUUAUUGGGGAGAUAAAUAAAUUUGUUUUACUUUAUUAUUAUUACUAUUCAAUAAUUGUUGUUUAUUAUUUUUUUAUUUUAUUUAGUUUAAAUUAAAUUACUUUAGGGAUAACAGAGUAAUAAUUUUGUAUAGAUCAUAUAAAUAGAAUUGUUUACGACCUCGUUUUGU
rnacentral:rRNA from 1 species